AUUGAACGCUGGCGGCAGGCCUAACACAUGCAAGUCGAGCGGAUGAAGGGAGCUUGCUCCUGGAUUCAGCGGCGGACGGGUGAGUAAUGCCUAGGAAUCUGCCUGGUAGUGGGGGAUAACGUCCGGAAACGGGCGCUAAUACCGCAUACGUCCUGAGGGAGAAAGUGGGGAUCUUCGGACCUCACGCUAUCAGAUGAGCCUAGGUCGGAUUAGCUAGUUGGUGGGGUAAAGGCCUACCAAGGCGACGAUCCGUAACUGGUCUGAGAGGAUGAUCAGUCACACUGGAACUGAGACACGGUCCAGGCUCCUACGGGAGGCAGCAGUGGGGAAUAUUGGACAAUGGGCGAAAGCCUGAUCCAGCCAUGCCGCGUGUGUGAAGAAGGUCUUCGGAUUGUAAAGCACUUUAAGUUGGGAGGAAGGGCAGUAAGUUAAUACCUUGCUGUUUUGACGUUACCAACAGAAUAAGCACCGGCUAACUUCGUG
rnacentral:rRNA from 1 species